GCGUCGGUGGUGCAACGGUUAGCAUGCGCUCCCCGCAAAGAGUGAGUUCGGGAUUCGAACCCCGGCUGACGCA